CUUCUGUCCCUGAGGUUUGAUGAAUUUCCUUGCAGACCCUAGGUACACAUUCUGUCAUCUGGAGUAAUUUUAAAACAGGAUUGCCUUUAAAUUACCUGUUCUUGGGCCUGCAUUACUUACUAUACCAUAGUGUUACCCUCACAUUCUUCCAGAGCCACAUCCCCACUUUUCUGAAUGCUGGAGGAAGUUCUGCACAUCCAACAGGAAGAGUAAGGUCAAUGGAACACUAAGCCCAGCCAGGCAGAAAUAAAGAAGAUAAAAUAGUCAUUCUGGAAAGAGACUAUGUAUCAUCCAUGUCCAUUAGUGGAGAAAAGAGUUGGUCUAUCAAAUUCUGCUGAGCUUUUGUACUUUUGCCAAAACGUUUAAUCAUCUCUAUGGACAGCUGAAAGCCAAAUAGAACCAACUAUACAAUCA
rnacentral:lncRNA from 1 species